UACUAUGUUACGACUUAUCUCGCUUAAAUCAACGAGAGUGACGGGCGAUGUGUACACACUUUAGAGCUAAAAUCAUAAUUAUAAUAUAUUAAAUAUUACUAUUAAAUCCACUUUCAUAUAAAAUUUAUUCAUCUUAUAAUCCAUUUAACAUUUAAAGUAUUGUAAUCCAUCUCCCCUUGAAUAUAAACUGCACCUUGACCUGAAAUAUUAUAAAAUCAAAUAUAAAGAAAAUUUCCCCUAAAAAGAUUUUCAUAAAACGGCGAUAUACAAAUUAAAUAAAAUCAAGUUAGGUUUAACGUGGACUAUCGAUUAAGGGACAGAUUCCUCUAAAUAGACUAAAGUACCGCCAAAUUCUUUAAGUUUCAAGACCAUAACUAUUACUACUCAAGUCUUUUAAAUUUAAAUUUUUAAUAAUAGGGUAUCUAAUCCUAGUUU
rnacentral:rRNA from 1 species